CUCGGACCCUCCCUGGGACGCGGUGGGCCGGACGACUGGAGGAGGAGAGGAGGAAAGGGCCGAGCGCUCCUCACAGUCCUUUCGAGGGCCGCAGCCCAAGGGCCCUUCUGCUCAGGAAUGAAGCCGAGGAUGGGCAGCAUCUCGGGGCUGCUUCAGACUCUGCAGAUGACUUGGCUUAGAGGACCUGUGGGAUGUGCGGAGAAGGAGAACCGGGGGAGAGGAGAUCGGUGGUGUUUUAGACACUGCUCCAUCAGUCUGGGUGAAGAAAGGAGCAUGUGGAGAAGAACUUGAGCCACCCAGGUUGGACAUGGCGCACAAGGGAGUCUCUGCCUUUACUGGGCGGACUUCUCAGUUGCUGGUGUCCUGAGACAAUGUGACUUCCAUGCUACAAGAGCCUGGCCUGAGUUGUUCAUCACUGUACCCUGAAUGCUGAACACAGGGACCCAGCUACC